GUACGCAAUCUUACCCACUACAGGGGAAUAGCCCAGGGAACCUUGGAUUAAUACCCCAUAUUAUAUAGAGGUGGCAAUCACCUUUUAUAUCAAAGCUUCGCGCGGUAGUGGAUGAGCGUGCGGUUGAUUAGAUAGUUGGCGGGGGUAACGGCCCACCAAGUCUACCGAUCAAUAGCUGAUGUGAGAGCAUGAUCAGCCACACGGGCACUGAGACACGGGCCCGACUCCUACGGGAGGCAGCAGUAAGGAAUAUUGGGCAAUGGACGCAAGUCUGACCCAGCCAUGCCGCGUGAAGGAUGAAGGUCCUCUGGAUUGUAAACUUCUUUUAUCUGGGGCGAAAACAACUCUUUCUAGGGUUCUUGACAGUACCAGAGGAAUAAGCACCGGCUAACUCCGUGCCAGCAGCCGCGGUAAUACGGAGGGUGCAAGCGUUAUCCGGAUUCACUGGGUUUAAAGGGUGCGUAGGCGGGUUAGUAAGUCAGUGGUGAAAUCCCCGAGCUUAACUUGGGAGACUGCCGUUGAUACGUAUUAGUCU
rnacentral:rRNA from 1 species